CCAAUAGCGUAUAUUAAAGUUGUUGCAGUUAAAAAGCUCGUAGUUGAAUUUCGGGGUCAGUAAGUUGGUCGUGCCACUGGUAUGUACUGGCUUCACUGAUUCCUCCUUCUUGAAGAACUGUAAUGCUAUUAAUUUAGUGUUGCAGGGAAACAGGACUGUUACUUUGAAAAAAUUAGAGUGUUUAAAGCAGGCUAACGCUUGAAUACAUUAGCAUGGAAUAAUGAAAUAGGACGUUUGAUCCUAUUUUGUUGGUUUCUAGGAUUGACGUAAUGAUUAAUAGGGAUAGUUGGGGGCAUUAGUAUUCAAUUGUCAGAGGUGAAAUUCUUGGAUUUAUUGAAGACUGACUACUGCGAAAGCAUUUGCCAAGGAUGUUUUCAUUAAUCAAGAACGAAAGUUAGGGGAUCGAAGACGAUCAGAUACCGUCGUAGUCUUAACCAUAAACUAUGCCGACUAGGGAUCGGAUGAUGUUAAUUUUAUAAUGACUCAUUCGGCGCCUUACG
rnacentral:rRNA from 1 species